AUGUUCGAGCAAUUCGGACAUAUAUUGUAUGAGUGUGGUGCAUAUCAGGUGGAGGAGAUCGAUAAAGGUAAAAACCGUGUUGCAAUACAUAAAGAUGCAGCACGGAGAGAAAAGUGGUGUAAAACUUCAUACAAAGUAACAAUUAUGGAAGGAGGUGAUGAAUUUGUCUGUCAGUGUGGGCAGUUUGCACACAUGGGGCUGCUGUGCAGCCACAUCCUAAAGGUGAUUUAG
rnacentral:rRNA from 1 species